rnacentral:misc_RNA from 1 species
AAAUGCGAUAAGUAAUGUGAAUUGCAGAAUUCAGUGAAUCAUCGAAUCUUUGAACGCACCUUGCGCUCCUUGGUAUUCCUUGGAGCAUGCCUGUUUGAGUAUCAUGAAAUCUUCAAAGUAAAUCUUUUGUUAACUCAAUUGGUUUCUACUUUGGUAUUGGAGGUCUUUGCAGCUUCACACCUGCUCCUCUUUGUUCAUUAGCUGGAUCUCAGUGUUAUGCUUGGUUCCACUCGGCGUGAUAAGUUAUCUAUCGCUGAGGACACUGUAAAAGGUGGCCAAGGUAAAUGCAGAUGAACCGCUUCUAAUAGUCCAUUGACUUGGACAAUACUUUUAUGAUCUGAUCUCAAAUCAGGUAGGACUACCCGCCGAACUUAAGC